UUUUCAUGGCCAGGCUUCAUGAACGAAAAUUUGGGAAGGGUUCUACCCAUGUUUGUUACAAGCGCUCUGGUGGCUAAAGAGGCCAGUACGAGACAGGCACCUCCUGUUGGAAAAGGGAC